GUGGGGAAUAUUGGGCAAUGGGCGAAAGCCUGACCCAGCAACGCCGCGUGAGGGAAGAAGGCCUUCGGGUUGUAAACCUCUGUCCUUGGUGACGAAACAAAUGACGGUAGCCAAGGAGGAAGCCCCGGCUAACUACGUGCCAGCAGCCGCGGUAAUACGUAGGGGGCGAGCGUUGUCCGGAAUUACUGGGCGUAAAGGGUGCGUAGGUGGCCUUUUAAGUUGGAUGUGAAAUACCCGGGCUUAACUUGGGGGGUGCAUCUAAUACUGGAGGGCUAGAGUGCAGGAGAGGGAAGCGGAAUUCCUAGUGUAGCGGUGAAAUGCGUAGAUAUUAGGAGGAACACCAGUGGCGAAGGCGGCUUUCUGGACUGUAACUGACACUGAGGCACGAAAGCGUGGGGAGCAAACAGGAUUAGAUACCCUUGUAGUCC
rnacentral:rRNA from 1 species